GAAAUGCGAUAAGUAGUGUGAAUUGCAGAAUUCAGUGAAUCAUCGAAUCUUUGAACGCACAUUGCGCCCCUUGGUAUUCCAUGGGGCAUGCCUGUUCGAGCGUCAUUUGUACCCUCAAGCUCUGCUUGGUGUUGGGUGUUUGUCCCCGUCUCCGCGCGUGGACUCGCCCCAAAGUGAUUGGCAGCCGGCGUACUGGUCCCGGAGCGCAGCACAUGUCGCGCAAACGAGUGCCUUGGUACGGCGGCGUCCAUAAGCCCCUCUCUCACGCUCUUGACCUCGGAUUAGGUAGGGAUACCCGCUGAACUUAAGC
rnacentral:misc_RNA from 1 species